rnacentral:snRNA from 1 species
UUAUUCUAUACACUCCAUCUUUC